AUUGAACGCUGGCGGCAGGCCUAACACAUGCAAGUCGAACGAUUGGCUGCCGGGUGAGUAAUGUCUGGGAAACUGCCUGAUGGCGGGGGAUAACUACUGGAAACGGUAGCUAAUACCGCAUACCAUCAGAUGUGCCCAGAUGGUGUUAGCUAGUUGGUGGGGUAACGGCUCACCAAGGCGACGAUCCCUAGCUGGUCUGAGUGGAUGACCAGCAACACUGGAACUGAGACACGGUCCAGACUCCUACGGGAGGCAGCAGUGGGGAAUAUUGCACAAUGGGCGCAAGCCUGAUGCAGCCAUGCCGCGUGUAUGAAGAAGGCCUUCGGGUUGUAAAGUACUUUCAGCGGGGAGGCGUUACCCGCAGAAGAAGCACAGGCUAACUCCGUGCCAGCAGCCGCGGUAAUAC
rnacentral:rRNA from 1 species